rnacentral:lncRNA from 1 species
UUGUAUGUGACAAGUGCGGACAAAUCUGGAAAACUAGAUUGGCCUGUGGUUUCUGAGCAAGCCCAGCUUUUGAGAAAGCUAGCACCUCUUCGAUUUUUGAAUUGUUGGAAAUGUGCCCUAAAACCAAUCAUAUGAUGAUACUUUACGGACAUUUCACAUGUUAAACUAAUCUAGUUUAAUAUCAAGGGCAAAGAUUAUUGUUUGAGCCGUCUCAUAUAAAUGUUAUAUGCUUAAACGAUAAGUCCAAGAAAUAUGUGAUUGGGAGAAUGCGAUCUAAAGAAGUUAGAUUCAUGAGACCAUUCUUUCGUAGACAUAUCCUAAACGUUCCUGAUCAUAGGAUUGCCAAUUGGGCAUUGACAGUCCGUUAAGAU